AAUGAACGUUGGCGGCGUGGAUUAGGCAUGCAAGUCGAGCGCUCAUAGCAAUAUGGGAGCGGCGAACGGCGUAGGAAUUCAUAGGAACGUACCCUCAGGUCGGGGAUAGCUACGGGAAACUGUAGGUAAUACCCGAUGAUCUCUGCGGAGCAAAGGUGUGAUUCCGCCUGAGGAGCGGCUUAUGUGAUAUUAGCUAGUUGGUGGGGUAAUGGCUUACCAAGGCGAAGAUGUCUAGGGGGUGUGAGAGCAUGGCCCCCACGACCGGAACUGAGAUACUGUCCGGACACCUACGGGUGGCUGCAGUCGAGAAUCUUCCGCAAUGGACGAAAGUCUGACGGAGCGACGCCGCGUGCGGGAUGAAGGCCCUUGGGUUGUAAACCGCUUUCGGAGGGGAUGAAAUCCUCGAGGGUACUCCCUCGAGGUUGACAGAGCCUCAAAAGAGCACGGGCUAAGUACGUG
rnacentral:rRNA from 1 species